AUUGAACGCUGGCGGCAUGCCUUACACAUGCAAGUCGAACGGUAACGGGCCUUCGGGUGCCGACGAGUGGCGACCGGGUGAGUAAUACAUCCGAACGUGCCCGAUCGUGGGGGAUAACGAGGCGAAAGCUUUGCUAAUACCGCAUACGAUCUACGGAUGAAAGCAGGGGACCGCAAGGCUUUGCGCGGACGGAGCGGCCGAUGGCAGAUUAGGUAGUUGGUGGGAUAAAAGCUUACCAAGCCGACGAUCUGUAGCUGGUCUGAGAGGAUGAUCAGCCACACUGGGACUGAGACACGGCCCAGACUCCUACGGGAGGCAGCAGUGGGGAAUUUUGGACAAUGGGCGCAAGCCUGAUCCAGCCAUGCCGCGUGCAGGAUGAAGGCCUUCGGGUUGUAAACUGCUUUUGUACGGAACGAAAAGCCUUCUUUUAAUACAGGAGGGUCAUGACGGUACCGUAAGAAUAAGCACCGGCUAACUACGUG
rnacentral:rRNA from 1 species